rnacentral:lncRNA from 1 species
AAUGGGACCAUCUUUAGACAAGCAAAGAUGGAAGAGCAUAAUGCCUGGGGGUGGGGUAAUUAGUUGCGAUACGAGCUACGCAGCAUGCAAGGUUGACGUAUUGAAAUGGAGGAUGCACAUACGGCUGUGAUUGCUUUGCCAAGUGGACUUGAAAGGUGGUCAUUCUUUGCUGUGUAUAACGGGCAUCCUGGUUCUCAGGUUGCCAAAUACUGCUGUGAGCAUUUGUUAGAUCACAUCGCCGAUAACCAGGAUUUACAGGGUCUGCAGGAGCACCUUCUUUGGAAAAUGUAAAGAAUGGAAUCAGAACAGGUUUCCUGGAGAUUGAUGAACACGAGAGUUAUGUCAGAGAAGAAACAUGGUGCAGAUAGAAGUGGGUCAACAGAUGUAAGCGUCUUACUUUCUCCCCAACAUAAUUAUUUCAUUAACUAUGAAGACUCUAGACGUUUACUUUGUAGGAACAGGAAAGUUCAUUUCUUCACAAAUUGCAAAUCCGCUAGAAAAAGAAUGAAUUCAGAAUGCAGGUGGCUCUGUAAUGCUUUAGCAUGUGAAAGCCUCUCUGGCUGUAUCCAAAGCCCUUGGGGAUUUUGAUUACAAAUGUAUCCAUGGGAAAGGUCCUACUGGGCAGCUUGUCUCACCAGAGCCUGAAGUCCAUGACACUGAAAGAUCUGAAGAAGAUGAUCACUUCAUUAUCCUUGCAUGUGAUAGUAUCUGGGAUGUUAUGGGAAAUGAAGAGCUCUGUGAUUUUGUAAGAUCCAGGCUUGAAGUCACUGAUGACCCUGAGAAAGUUUACAAUGAAAUAGUCGACACCUGUUUGCAUAAGGGAAGUCAAGACAACAUGUGUGUGAUUUUUUUCUCUGGUUUCCAAAUGCACCCAAAGUAUCACCAGAAGCAGCGAAGAAGGAGGCAGAGUUGGGCAAGUACCUGGAAUGCAGAGUAGAAGAAAUCAUAAAGAAGCAGGGGGAAGGUGUCCCUGACUUAGUCCAUGUGGUGUACACAUUAGCCAAUGAGAACAUCCCCAGACUGCCACCUGGAGGUGAAUUGGCAAACAAGCAAAAUGUUAUUGAAGCCAUUUAUAAAAGACGGAAUCUUUAUAAAAAUGAUGACAGUGACUCCACAUCAACUGAUGCUAUGUGCU